rnacentral:rRNA from 1 species
UACGUAGGGUGCAAGCGUUAAUCGGAAUUACUGGGCGUAAAGCGUGCGCAGGCGGUUGUGCAAGACAGAUGUGAAAUCCCCGGGCUCAACCUGGGAAUGGCAGUGGAAACUGGCGGGCUUGAGUGUGGCAGAGGGGGGUGGAAUUCCGCGUGUAGCAGUGAAAUGCGUAGAGAUGCGGAGGAACACCGAUGGCGAAGGCAGCCCCCUGGGCUAACACUGACGCUGAGGCACGAAAGCGUGGGGAGCAAACAGG